CUGAGAUCCCCAAAACCCCACAAAACCCCAGAAAACACCACAAAAACCCCAAAAAAUCCCAUAAAAUCCCAUAAAACCAGUGAAAAUCCUGAGCCAGGUGUGCCCAGGUGUGCCCAGGUGUCCGCGCGGUUCGUGGCCAUGAUCACCUGGGCACAGGUGAGGGGUCAGGGCACACCUGAGAUCCCCAAAACCCCACAAAACCCCAGAAAACACCACAAAAACCCCAAAAAAUCCCAUAAAAUCCCAUAAAACCAGUGAAAAUCCUGAGCCAGGUGUGCCCAGGUGUGCCCAGGUGUCCGCGCGGUUCGUGGCCAUGAUCACCUGCGCAGGUGACACGGGAGGACACGCGUGGGGACAGGUGAGGUCCCAAAACCUCAUAAAAUCCCAUGAAAUCCCUGAAAAUCCCUGAAAAUCCUGAGCCAGGUGUGCCCAGGUGUGCCCAGGUGUGCCCAGGUGUCCGCGCGGUUCGUGGCCAUGAUCACCUGCGCAGGUGAGGGGUCAGGGCACACCUGAGAUCCCCAAAACCCCACAAAACCCCAGAAAACACCACAAAAACCCCAAAAAAUCCCAUAAAAUCCCAUAAAACCAGUGAAAAUCCUGAGCCAGGUGUGCCCAGGUGUGCCCAGG